UAGGGAAUAUUAGUAAUGGGCGAAAGCCUGAACUAGCAACGCCGCGUGUGCGAAGAAGGCCAUCGGGUCGUAAAGCACUUUCUGAGAGGAUGAGGAAGGACGGUACUCUCAGAAUAAGUCUCGGCUAACUACGUGCCAGCAGCCGCGGUAACACGUAGGAGGCAAACGUUAUCCGGAUUUACUGGGCGUAAAGCGCGUGUAGGUGGUUUGGUAAGUAGGGCGUGAAAGCUCCUGGCUCAACUGGGAGAGGACGUUCUAAACUGCCAAGCUUGAGGAUGGUAGAGGGAGGUGGAAUUCCGGGUGUAGCGGUGGAAUGCGCAGAUAUCCGGAGGAACACCAGUGGCGAAGGCGGCCUCCUGGACCACUCCUGACACUCAGACGCGAAAGCUAGGGUAGCAAACGG
rnacentral:rRNA from 1 species